rnacentral:lncRNA from 1 species
AUGACUUUAAAUAAUUCUUAAUGAUCUUGACGAUUUGUUUUUACCAACGCAAUAAAUUAUGAAAGUUAGUAUUUCAUAUUUGUUACCAGUUAAUGGUUGAGACAGUUCUUAAAUAUAAAAAAAACAUAUUUCGAUUGUUGUUAUGGUUUUGUAACUCAUUUUAUAUCAUCAAUUUAAUUAGAUUCUUUUGAUCUUGAAAAAAUAAAUGAUACUAAAUACUGAAAAGCCUUUUGAAAUUUUAAAGUUUUCGAUAUUUAUUGUUUCAGUGAUAAACGAAAAGUCAUGUAAUCCCACGUAACAAAUACAAUGGUUUGUCAAUGAUAUCAUAGGUCCUUCAUGGCUCCAAUGGACAUGACAUUGAACAGCAAAUUUAGCAUGUUUAUCUAUUGUAAAAAAA